rnacentral:rRNA from 1 species
GGUUGAUCCUGCCAGUAGUCAUAUGCUUGUCUUAAAGACUAAGCCAUGCAUGUCUAAGUAUAAGUUAUAUACAGCGAAACUGCGAAUGGCUCAUUAAAACAGUUAUAGUUUAUUCGAUUAUUUUCUUCUACAUGGAUAACCGUAGUAAUUCUAGAGCUAAUACAUGCUGUCAAACCUGACUUUUCGGAAGGGUUGUAUUUAUUAGAUAUUAAACUAACCCUGGCAACAGGAUAGUGAUGAUUCAUAAUAACUGAGCGGAUCGCGGCCUCGCCGCGACGAAUCGUUCAAGUUU